AAAAUAUCUCUUUCUAAAGAAAGAAGUGACCGCCAAGCAUGGAGUGUUGGGAGUCUUGCCGCUCCUGCAGCUGUGGUCACCACUCCAGAGGUGUUGCCGGGGCACUCACAGGAACUGCAUUUCCCAGGUUCCCUUGCACCUCAGUAGGGCCAUGGAAGGCUUCUCAGCUGUGGCAAAUGCAUGGAAGUAACAACUGGCACCUUCAGCCCAAAGGUAACAUGGAGAUGUCUCUUCCCCUUGGUGCCUCCCUCUACCCACUGGCAGAAUGCAGAGAACACCAAGGACUUACAGAAGGCAGAGCCUCAUGAUGGAAGGAGCCUGGAUCCCUGAAUGACCAUCUGGAAGGCUGACUGACCAGGAACAUCCUCUUGGGACUGUGAAGUAUGCAAGAAAUAAAUUUUCAUUGUGCUAAGGC